rnacentral:lncRNA from 1 species
GAAAUAUGCUCUUCGGGCGAAGAUCGGGAAAAUCCGAAGUUGUCUGAGCAACUGACCUGUGUACAGAACUGGAUGCCUGUGGUUGUUCCAGUAAAACUCAGUGGGUUGUUCUGGUUGUUAACCAAGCUUGUUCUGGCUCAAACAACAUGGCCACUUAGUUGCUUAAAUUUUCAAAAACAUACCCAACAAGCUUACCAUACCCAAAUGGGCGAAGUCGAUCCUGACAGACGAACAUUUGAUUUCAUUCUCCAAAUUGUUGGCGAGCGGGUAAAAUUUUGGUGAUGGAAAAUGUGAUCUAUUCUUGGGUUUCACAACAGCAUAAUGCAGUGAAUCUGACAGGGGGUCAAGCUAAAAUGUAUUGUAAUUUAUGACGUCAUAUGAAAUCCAAGAAUAGACCCUAACCCAUUUCAUCCCCCUCUUAUUCAUAAUUAGGUUGACCCACCUCCCAGAAAUCAUUUCUCUGCCCCCAUCCCUCAAUCCAACCGGCCCACCCUCUCUCGUAAAGAAUAAGCGGUUCCUCCUGAAUGGAACUUUUGCGAGAGUGUGUCACGGAACUGUACAACUCUGUACUACAGUGUUCUGGGAAUUCAACCCGAAAACGAACAAGUACUGUGUAUUUGCAAUUUUCAUGACAAUUAAGAUUUGGAAAUGUGGAGGAUUGAAAAAUUUGGAGUGAAAAAUUUUAUGAUAAUUGCUAGUGUAUUAGAACAUUGAAAGAGGGAAGGUGUGUUAACU